rnacentral:rRNA from 1 species
GAUGAACGCUGGCGGCGUGCUUAACACAUGCAAGUCGAACGGAAAGGCCCAAGCUUGCUUGGGUACUCGAGUGGCGAACGGGUGAGUAACACGUGGGGGAUCUGCCCUGCACUUCGGGAUAAGCCUGGGAAACUGGGUCUCAUACCGGAUAGGAUCUCUUCUUGGAUGUUGUGGUGGAAAGUUUUUUGGGUGUGGGAUGAGCUCGCGGGCUAUCAGCUCGUUAGUGGGGUGAUGGUCUACCGAGGCGUGGGCGGGUCGCCGGCCAGUGAGGGUGUACGGCGACAUUGAGUCUUAGGGGCGGCACAAGCACGUACUGGUGGGAACUGGGGGGAAUAUUGCACAAUGAGCGCAAGGCGGGUGCUGCAGGGCCGCGUGGGGGAUGACGGUGUUCGGGUUGUAGACUCAUUGCGCUAGGGACGAAGCGUUUUGUGACGGUACCUGGAGAAGAAGCCCCGGCUAACUACGUG